AACAAACGCUGGCGGCGUGCCUAAUACAUGCAAGUCGAACGGGGAAAGCUUUCGGGUGAGUACUAGUGGCGCACGUGUGAGUAACGCGUGGAUAAUCUGCCUUAGAGUGGGGGAUAACUAGUCGAAAGAUUAGCUAAUACCGCAUAAGACCACAAGAACUGCGGUUCAAGAGGUCAAAGGGUUUUCGCUCUAAGAUGAGUCCGCGUAAGAUUAGCUAGUUGGUGAGGUAACGGCUCACCAAGGCAACGAUCUUUAACUGGUCUGAGAGGAUGAUCAGUCACACUGGAACUGAGACACGGUCCAGACUCCUACGGGAGGCAGCAGUAGGGAAUAUUGCACAAUGGAGGAAACUCUGAUGCAGCGACGCCGCGUGGGUGAUGAAGGCCUUCGGGUCGUAAAGCUCUGUCGCAGGGGAAUAACACAAUGAAUGUACCCUGUAAGAAAGGAUCGGCUAACUUCGUGCCAGCAGCCGCAGUAAAAC
rnacentral:rRNA from 1 species